GAUGAACGCUGGCGGCGCGCCUAACACAUGCAAGUCGAACGAUUAAAGCACCUUCGGGUGUGUAUAAAGUGGCGAACGGCUGAGUAACACGUGGGCAACCUGCCCCUUUCAUUGGGAUAGCCACGGGAAACCGUGGAUAAUACCGCAUACUUCGAGACUUCCGCAUGGAAGACUCGAGAAAGCUCCGGCGGAGAGGGAUGGGCCCGCGGCCUGUUAGCUUGUUGGUGGGGUAACGGCCUACCAAGGCAAUGAUGGGUAGCUGGGUUGAGAGACCGACCAGCCAGAUUGGGACUGAGACACGGCCCAGACUCCUACGGGAGGCAGCAGUGGGGAAUCUUGCACAAUGGGCGAAAGCCUGAUGCAGCGACGCCGCGUGCGGGAUGAAGGCCUUCGGGUUGUAAACCGCUUUCAGCAGGGACGAGGCGAAAGUGACGGUACCUGCAGAAGAAGCCCCGGCUAACUACGUG
rnacentral:rRNA from 1 species